rnacentral:rRNA from 1 species
UACGGAGGGUGCGAACGUUAAUCGGAAUCACUGGGCGUAAAGCGCGCGUAGGCGGUCCGUUAAGUGGGAUGUGAAAUCCCCGGGCUUAACCUGGGAAUUGCAUUUCAAACUGGCGGACUAGAGUGCGGUAGAGGGAGGUAGAAUUUCCUGUGUAGCGGUGAAAUGCGUAGAUAUAGGAAGGAAUACCAGUGGCGAAGGCGGCCUCCUGGAUAGACACUGACGCUGAGGAGCGAAAGCGUGGGGAGCAAACAGG